CCUACGGGUGGCAGCAGUGAGGAAUAUUGGUCAAUGGCCGUAAGUCUGAACCAGCCAUGUCGCGUGAGGGAAGACUGCCCUAUGGGUUGUAAACCUCUUUUAUGCGGGGAUAAAGGUGUCUACGUGUGGCUGUUUGCAGGUACCGCACGAAUAAGGACCGGCUAAUUCCGUGCCAGCAGCCGCGGUAAUACGGAAGGUCCGGGCGUUAUCCGGAUUUAUUGGGUUUAAAGGGAGCGUAGGCCGGUCUUUAAGCGUGCGGUGAAAUUUUGUGGCUCAACCGGAAAAUUGCAAUUGAUACUGGCAGUCUUGAGUACAGUUGAGGUAGGCGGAAUGCGUGGUGUAGCGGUGAAAUGCUUAGAUAUCACGAAGAACCCCGAUUGCGAAGGCAGCUUACUAAACUGUGACUGACAUUGAGGCACGAAAGUGUGGGUAUCAAACAGGAUUAGAUACCCGAGUAGUC
rnacentral:rRNA from 1 species